ACACUAAGAAAUAAUUAUUCUAACUAUAUUUAUUUAUUUAGAUUAUACUAUUAAGUCCACCUUCUUAAAUCAUGUUACAACCUUUAAUUCGAAAAAAAAUUAGAUAAUGUAACUCACCUUAUUUCUCACUUAUUAGCUGCACUUUGAUUUGUAAAAUUAUAAAAUAUAUGUUUGAAGCCUACCUCAAGGUAAAGUUCAAUACAACGGUAUACAAGCUUUUGUAAAGUAAGUAGCUUUUACUUGGUGGUUAUCAAUUAUAUGGUAAGUUCCCCUAAUAAAUUUUCUUAGCCGCCAUAUUAUUUAGGUUUGAACUUUAUUAGUAUUAGUUGUAAUCCCUGUAUUGUAUAAUAUAAUUUCUUUAUAGUUGGGUAUCUAAUCCGAGUUUAUAAUUUAGAAUUUAUUACAAUUUUACUAAUAUAGGAGUAUAUUACAUUGUGCAUUUCACCACGAUAAUUAAAAAUAAUUAGAUAUGUAAGUAUGUUAAACAAAUAACAAUACAACUAAAGAUAAAUUAGCCUAUUAGGUUUGACCGCGGUUGCUGGCACCUAAUUGACCUAGGUUAAUUAGUUACCUAAAUUUAAUUUUCAUUAAUGUUAGUUUUAAAAUUAUUAACUGGGAAUAUUAUUUACUACCCAUAUUAAGCUAUACUAUACAUCUAUUCUGGCACCGGAAUAAAAUGCCUUUACAAGGGUGUUUUUUUCCAUUUUAGG
rnacentral:rRNA from 1 species